rnacentral:rRNA from 1 species
UUUUUUGAGAGUUUGAUCCUGGCUCAGGAUGAACGCUGGCGGUGUGCUUUAGGCAUGCAAGUCGAACGCUUCCGCAAGGAAGAGUGGCAGACGGGUGAGUAACACGUAGGAAUCUACCCAGUAGCGGGGAAUAGCUCGCCGAAAGGCGAGGUAAUACCGCAUACGCCCUCAGGGGGAAAGUCGCAAGACACUAUUGGAGGAGCCUGCGAACUAUCAGUUAGUUGGUGAGGUAAUGGCUUACCAAGACUACGACGGUUAGCCGAUGUGAGAGCAUGAUCGGCCACAAGGUUACUGAGACACGGAACCUACACCUACGGGUGGCAGCAACCGGGAAUUUUGCGCAAUGGGCGAAAGCCUGACGCAGCGACACCGCGUGUGGGAUGAAAUACUUCGGUAUGUAAACCACUGUGGCGAGGGAGGAAUUUUGACAGUACCUCGCUAGAAAGCACCAGCUAACUACGUGCCAGAAGCUUCGGUAAUACGUAGGGUGCAAGCGUUAUCCGGAUUUACUGGGUGUAAAGGGUCAGUCGGCGUUUUUGUAUGUUUCUUGUCUAAGCCUGGGGCUCAACUCCAGAAUGGCAAGAAAAACUGCAAGAAUAGAGUCUGUUCGAGGAAACUGGAAUUCUUGGUGGAGGGGUGAAAUCCGUAGAUAUCAAGAGGAACGCCGCGCGUGAAGACAGGUUUCUAGGACAGUACUGACGCUCAAUGACGAAAGCUUGGGGAGCAAAAGGGAUUAGAGACCCCUGUAGUCCAAGCCGUAAACAAUCCUUGCUAGCUGUCCUCACUUCGAGUGGGGGUGGCGUAAGCUAACGCGUUAAGCAAGGCACCUGGGGACUACGACCGCAAGGUUAAAACUCAAAGGAAUUGACGGGGGAGCGCACAACCGGUGGAGCAUGUGGUUUAAUUCGAUACAAAGCGAAAAACCUCACCCAGAAUUGACAUGUACCUGCACGUCUUUGGAAACAAGGACUUCUUCGAGAGUGGUACACAGGUGAUGCAUGGCUGUCGUCAGCUCGUGUCGUGAGACGUCCACUUAAGUGUGGUAACGAGCGCAACCCUUAUCGUAUGUUACAAGUGUCAUACGAGACUGCCCUUCAUCUUUGAAGGGAGGAAGGAGAGGAUGACGUCAAGUCAGCACGUCCCUUACGUCUGGGGCUACACACAUCCUACAAUGGAGCCGACAACAGGUCGCGACGGGGUAACCCUGAGCCAAUCCUUAUAAACGGCUCCUCAGUUCAGAUUGUGGGCUGAAAUCCGCCCACAUGAAGCCGGAAUCGGUAGUAAUCGCAAAUCAGCAGGUUGCGGUGAAUACGUUCUCGCUCCUUGUACACACUGCCCGUCAAGCCAGCAAAGUCAGCAACGCCCGAAGCGGGUGACCGUAACCCUCACGGGAGCGGCCUCACUACGGCGAGGUUGGCGAUGAGGACUAAGUCGUAACAAGGUAUCCGUACUGGAAGGUGCGGAUGGAUCACCUCCUUU